CAUGAAUGAGCUGGUCAAUGCAUCAUCGACCAUCUGUGGCCACAUCUUCUGCCAGAAGUGCAUCAAGGCCUCCAUCCAGGCUCAAAAGAAGUGCCCUACCUGCCGGAGGAAGCUGACCAUGAGCAACUUCCACCGGGUCUACCUCCCGACGGCAGAUAAUUAAACCUAUCCGCCAUUCUUGGAGCAUUAGAGCCGUGGCAGCUGUGACCCUUUUUUGGCACCGGCAUUGUGGUGAUUGUAUCUGAGCUAUUCUUCACAGGGUCAUCAUGAACAUUCAGUUUUUUCCCCAACAAUUUAACAAGUGCUCGAGACGUGAUUACCAAUCUGCAUACCUGGUGGUAGUGGACACUGUUAGUAGUCUUUCCUUGUGGGAAAGUGGAAACCUGUGCUUGGUACUGUGAGAUUAAUGCUUGAAAAUAUUUGAUAUGUUUCCUGCGUGUUUAGUUU
rnacentral:lncRNA from 1 species